UCACAGAGUUAGGCAGGCCUGAACUUCCCACCCCUCGCCUGUGAAGCUUCUGCCCUCCCAGCUAUGAACUGAGGAAGGCCCUGCUUCCUGAUACCGGCUCGGGCAGCAUGGGCUGCCGCCCGGCACACGAGGUACCCAUUCUGUCCUUGGGGUUCCUGAGCCUGGAGACCAGGACAUCGUCUGUCUGGCUCACUGCUGUCUCCACUGUUGGUUAAUACCUAUUUGUUAAAUGAUUGAAAACAUGUCAGCCACUUGAUAGGAUAAGCCAGCCUGGUUGAUGUGGGUGCUGUCUGAGGCUCCAGAGUUGAUUGUGACCCUUUCAGUCUUGUUCCGACCUCUGAGAUUGCAUGUGGAAGCCAAACAGGAUUUUGCUCUGUUCAAAUUAAUUUCUCAAGGACGGGGUUUAUCAAAAGUCCUUCCUGUUUGAAUCCUCUCCUCUGGGAAGGCUUCUCCUUCGGCAUAUGUCCCCAGUGGACAGUCCUCAUCUCCCAGUCGCUCCAGCCGGGGCAGGCCCAGGUCUCCAGGCUUCUCUGGCUGCUCAGGGAUGACCUGUGUGCAUGCUUCUUUCAAAGGCUAACACAAAAGCAGGGGAGGAGACAGGCCUUGAGGUGAGGAAAUUUGUCCAAAGGCCCCCAGCAAGUCAGAGGAAGGGCUAGAAUCUGGCUCUUCAGGCCCUCCUAGAGCACUGUCACUGCAUCAUGUGGCCUUUGUAAGUGACAGGCAGCUGGAGACAAGUUUUCAUCAGAAAAGUGGCCAGAUGUUAGGCAUUGUCUGCACCACUAAAAAGCAGCUCCAGGAACAGAUGCCCACGUCGUAGCAGACCAACUAGGACGUGCUACGGAAGCCAGCAAGAGUGUGGGGAGCCUGGAGGAGGAAAGAGGAAAAGGCAAGAACAGGCCGUAUGCCCGCAGAGGCCACGUCCCCUGGGCACAAGCAAGGAAAAGACCCCAGCCUGUGCCAAGAACCAAGAACCAAGAAGCAUGCCUGGUGAUUCCUAUUUCCUGCGUGCAGCCUGGGCUCCCUGGCUCAUCUCUUCCUGGAAGGUCUUGGAAGUGAGGUGAUUGGACAAGGAAAGGCACUUCGCUGCAGCAUCUGGAAGGCUUCAUUCAUUUGCCCAUUCAGUGGACAUUUGCUGUGCGCUAGGUCUGGGAGGAAGGAAAUGAGAAGACUGAAGCUCAGAGAGUUUACAUGACUUCCUCCAUGUCUCACUGCAAGUGAAGAAACAGGCUGCAGAUGAAGAGCUGAAACCACAAUCUUAGAGGGGCUGGUUGUCUCCCCAGCUGCACUGUGGCGUUCUCAAGGUAGACAUCUCAGGGGCAACACAGCGACAUGGAAAAGAGCUUACUGGGACCAGGCUGCCUGCGUUCAGCCGCGAGGUUAUUACCUGUGGUGACCUGGGUUGUCCUAAGAGGAAUACCUCCCAUUUAAUCUUAAUUGACGUUUGUGAAAUGCCUUGUCUUCCUCUGCUGAAAGGCUGUAAGU
rnacentral:lncRNA from 1 species